rnacentral:misc_RNA from 1 species
AAGUCGUAACAAGGUUUCCGUAGGUGAACCUGCGGAAGGAUCAUUAACACGUAUCCAACGUUAAACCCCCCCGUGCACCUUCAAACACCAUACAGCGCUUCGUGACCCAUCUUGUGUCGGGAUUGAUGGUCGGGAAAAACAGGGAUCUAGGGAGUUGGUUGUCGGGAGAACCUCGCGAAAUGGGGUGGCACGCCGCUCGGGGGGCCUGAGAACCUUCCAGAGCUGGAAUACCCGAACAACUGUUAACAAUGGAUAUCUUGGCUCUC